ensembl:snRNA U6 U6 spliceosomal RNA
GUGCUCACUUGGGCAGCACAUAUACUAAAAUUGGAACAAUACAGAGAAGAUUAGCAUGGUCCUUGAGCAAGGACGACACACAAAUUAGUGAAGUGCUCCAUAGUUUU